UGUUCUGAAGGUGGGUAUUAUGUUUGUUUUUAAAUUGUAUUAAAUUUUUGUUUUUGUUUUGUUUUCAGGUGCGUUUGUAGCGCAGCUAAUUUAGAGGCCGUCGUAGCUGUGAUGCCGUGGUUUUUGGGUUCUUCAAGCUUGCGAUUAAUAUGGAGGUACAUUUGUUGCAGCUUUUAUUGAGGCCGUCGCAGCUGAGAUCCGCGUGGUUUUGAGUUCUUCACGUUUGAGAUUAAUCUGGAGUUUUCAGGUACGUUUGUAGCAGCUGAUAUUAAAGCCGUCGCAGCUGGUAUGCCAAGGUUUGCGAUUAAUCUAGAGGUACCAGUUUGCGAUUAGUCUGGAGUUUUCAGGUACGUUUGUAGCA